UGCAUCUGUAGCCCAUGAGGAAGAGAACCUCCGGGGGCAGGGAGGUUCGACUCGAGCGAAGCGAGAGAACGUUGCGCCAGCAACGGCCCGCAGGGCGAG
rnacentral:sRNA from 1 species